UAAAUUUUUUAAUUAUUUAAGAACUGGUUAAUCAAAGUAGUAACAGCAAAGAAUAGGAAUUUCAUAAACAUGGAUUAUGCCUGUGAGCAUGUAACAUAAACUGGGUAUGUGAUACAAGUUCUUGAAAAUGGCAACAUCAAGUAUUAUAGGAAGGAGUUUAACCCUGAAAGAAGAAUCCUGAUUGUAGUCUGCAAUACCAUUUAACUACAUUCAUUUUUUUACUGAGGGAAGUAAAUAAUUACUUGAAUAUUGAAAGGUUCUUUCGUACCUCAGUAGUACAUUUGUCAUAAAUUUUUUAUAAGCUUUCUUCAUGUUCUCCCACGUGGCUUAUCAUGUUAUAGAACUCACAAAAAUGUGAUCUAUUGCUUAGAUAGUACGACCACUCAAACAUAAAACUAGGUGGGAGGUUCCUUAAAAUUGUCACGAAACAAAUGAACAAAGGGACUAAGUUAUUGAGCCAUUCUUUAUUAUAAUUGUUUUUUUCUGAAAGGGAAACGAAAUGUGGUUAAGUGGGUAAAGGGUCAACCUGACGUGAUUCCUCAGUAUAGCACUGCACAUCAUGUACUGCUCAUAAACAUCAUGUACUGCUCAUAAACAUCAUGUACUGCUCAUAAACAUCAUGUACUGCUCAUAAACAUCAUGUACUGCUCAUAAACAUCAUGUACUGCUCAUAAACAUCAUGUACUGCUCAUAAACAUGUAAUCAGGUAAAUAAUUUCACUUGCACUCCGAGAACAUGUAUUUUUUUCAGUAACCUGACCAAGUAAAGAGGUACAAUUAUUAUGGUCUUAAGCUCUUGAAUGAGCAGCGUGACCUAUAUCUUUUUUUAAUUUUGGGGUACAAAUUAUGCCUGACCAUCCUAAAUUUUAAAUUUGUGAAAUUUUAAAAAUUAAUUGAAGGGGAAAAAGACCUUAUAAAGCAUGUGCAAAGGGCAUUACUUGAUGGUGCAAAUUAUGACCUUGAAAUCAAUUACUCAAGCAAUGUUUUGAGUUGAUUUGGGUUAAAAUUGCACUAUUUUUCCACAAAUUGUAUAAUUAUCUAAUUGUACUAUAGGCUCAAACCUUUCUACCUGUCACCUCUUAAGUAUUACUUUAAAAACCCUUGCUUCGAGAUACCUCUAAAGGUACCAUGAACCACUGAAAUGACAGGUGUGAUAAGAGCAAGUUCAGGCAUAAAUGGGGUAAGUUGGGCUCAUUAUAUCUCUUAAACAAGCAUGGUGACCUAUAUUUUAUGAAACAGACAUUGGUAGGCCGAACAUUUAAGGAAAGCUUAGAAAAAAAUUUUAAAUAACUUUUUUUUCUGAGGAAUGACCUUAACAGCCUGUUAAUUCCUGCUACACUGGUGAAAUUCCAAAUAGUUUAAUUUUUUUUCUCAGGUCUAGAGUUUAACCACCAAAAUACUAUAUCAAACACUUAUUUUGGAUUAAGUAAAUGUUGUGAUGAAAUUGCCAAUACAUGUAGGUGACUAUGAGCAGCAUUUGAUUUUAUUUCAUUCUUUUUCAGAAAUUUUAAAAAUAGUCCAGGGCAGCAAGUUUGAAAAUUACUGCUCCAGUAUUAUGAUCAUUUCAUGACUUGACUUCGUGUGAGCAUACCAUUUGUACCAUCAACUCUAACAGAUUUCUGUGAUCUUGGAGGCGACAAGCAAGUGCACUGCACUGAAAAAGUAGAGUUGAGAAGAGGAAUAAAUAGAUCAUGAUAAGAUUUGGACAAAAUUGAUCCAAUACUUUUUAGGUCUAAAAUAACCAUGAUGUUCUUUUCUAAAGGAUACUACUGACACUAUCGCUCUUUGAAUUACAGAGCAGAGGGUUCUACGAUCCAUUCGCAGAUACGCCACUGAGUAGUUCUUCCUUCUUUAGUUUCGCGAGGUCUCAAGAACCAUAUCGACCAAAUCGUGUGCACGAGUAGCAUUGUACUUCUGAGUACGUCGUUAGUAAAGGUAACAUACCUUCCUUGUAAACGCUACGAUGACUAGUGUUUUCCUGUUGCUUGACGUCGUCAAUUCAGGGAAGCCAGCUUCUAAAGAAGUUUCAUUUUGUUCGAUCUCAUGAUUAGGGAAGGACGUUCUUGUGUAAUGCGCCAUUAACACCAAGUAACUGAUUCGAAACAUUCACAUCAAUGGCACUUACGACUUCAGUUGACGUAACACUGACAACUACAGAGCUACUCGUAGUCGCGUACUUCCAGGUCGAUUCAACUAUAACAUUUCUCAUAGUUUUUUUGGAUAGCGUAUAGGUGCAGAAAAAUCGUAUCACAUUUAUGCGAACUUGCGGUGUAAAUAAGUUGGUCAUCAGUUUCCGUCUGAAACCUCUACAAAGCUUACAAGUUAUUGUUAACUAACUUACCUCUUUGAGCUUACUCAAGUAUUGUCACUGUUAUAUUUUGUCGCACGUUUGGGAAGAAGAUGGACGUAAACGCCGAGCUGUCUUAAUUUUGUACGUAACAUCCUAAUACGUAAUUUCAGCUGGCGUCCUAGCUAAACAUACGAAGUGCCUUCAAAAGCUUUAAUAAACUUUUUCAGUAUACAAAUGUAUGUAUUAAAAUGUCC